rnacentral:rRNA from 1 species
GGGGAUAACAGUUAGAAAUGACUGCUAAUACCGCAUAAGCGCACAGGACCGCAUGGUCCGGUGUGAAAAACUCCGGUGGUAUGAGAUGGACCCGCGUCUGAUUAGCUGGUUGGUGGGGUAACGGCCCACCAAGGCGACGAUCAGUAGCCGGCCUGAGAGGGUGAACGGCCACAUUGGGACUGAGACACGGCCCAAACUCCUACGGGAGGCAGCAGUGGGGAAUAUUGCACAAUGGGGGAAACCCUGAUGCAGCGACGCCGCGUGAAGGAAGAAGUAUUUCGGUAUGUAAACUUCUAUCAGCAGGGAAGAAAAUGACGGUACCUGACUAAGAAGCCCCGGCUAACUACGUGCCAGCAGCCGCGGUAAUACGUAGGGGGCAAGCGUUAUCCGGAUUUACUGGGUGUAAAGGGAGCGUAGGCGGUUUAGCAAGUCAGAAGUGAAAGCCCGGGGCUCAACUCCGGGACUGCUUUUGAAACUGUUGAACUAGAUUGCAGGAGAGGUAAGUGGAAUUCCUAGUGUAGCGGUGAAAUGCGUAGAUAUUAGGAGGAACACCAGUGGCGAAGGCGGCUUACUGGACUGUAAAUGACGCUGAGGCUCGAAAGCGUGGGGAGCAAACAGGAUUAGAUACCCUGGUAGUCCACGCCGUAAACG